UGCCAGCAGCCGCGGUAAUACGGAGGGUGCAAGCGUUAUCCGGAUUCAUUGGGUUUAAAGGGUACGUAGGCGGAUAUAUAAGUCAGUGGUGAAAUCCCGAAGCUCAACUUCGGAACUGCCAUUGAAACUGUAUAUCUUGAAUUUGGUUGAAGUGGGCGGAAUAUGACAUGUAGCGGUGAAAUGCAUAGAUAUGUCAUGGAACACCAAUAGUGAAGACAGCUCACUAAACCACGAUUGACGCUGAGGUACGAAAGCAUGGGGAGCGAACAGGAUUAGAUA
rnacentral:rRNA from 1 species